CCCGCCCCGCCGCCGCGGGGACAUGGACUCCGACUCCUGCGCCUCCCCGUUCGCCCCGGAGGACUUCUCGCCCGCCUCCAAGCGGCACCGGACCGUGGAGGACUUCAACAAGUUCUGCACCUUCGUCCUGGCCUACGCCGGCUACAUCCCCUACCCGCAGGAGGAGACACCCCUGAGGAACAGUCCCAGCCCUCCCAACAGCACUGGAGGUACAAUUGACAGCGAUAGCUGGGAUCCCCGGUUCAAUGACAUCCCUUCUUCCGUUUCCUUGCCAGCCAAGAACAGAAAGAGCUUUAGUCAGCUUAAGCGAACAAAAUCAUACGGUUCCCUCUUCCAGCGAGCAAAACCUAGCAAUUUCCUGCCAGAGCGAAAGCAGAUUGAUAAGAUCAGGAAGAAGAAAAAACUGAAGAGAAGGGAAACAGAGGUGUCUGCAGAGGAAGACUACGAGGAGAAGCUGCUGGAGCUGGAGGCCGAGGACUCUUUUGUGGAGACUCCGAUGAGUCCCUCGUCCGAGGGCGAUCCUCAGUCUGUUACUGAACACUCCUCAGUGUGGGACUCUGACACGCCUUCCAGCGUCUCCUACCCUGCUGUGACAGCUGAGCAGACUGUGGAGAUACAGAGCGUGGGUAAAAGAACGGUCAUUCGGCAGGGGAAGCAAGUCGUAUUUCGGGAUGAGGAUGGCACCGGUGACGACGAGGACAUUAUGGUGGAUUCAGAUGACGAUUCGUGGGACCUAGUCACUUGCUUCUGCAUGAAACCUUUCGCUGGGCGGCCAAUGAUCGAGUGUAACGAGUGUCAUACCUGGAUCCACCUCUCCUGCGCUAAAAUCCGCAAAUCAAACGUCCCAGAGGUCUACAUUUGCCAGAAGUGUCGGGACUCCAAGUUUGACAUUCGCCGUUCAAACCGCUCCCGGACGGGCUCGCGCCGGCGCUUUCUGGACUAGCCGAGGGAGGGGCCGCGCCGGUGUGCUGCUUGGGCAGGCCAGCCGUGCAAAGCACAGACUCCAGCCGGGAGGUCGGGGAGCGCUCCUCCGGACUUCUGCUGCUCAGGCUAAAGGGCUGCCUGGUCUGUCUGCGUUAACAGGGAUACGGUAUCACAAAGUUGUUGAUGGCCAGGGCUGGGAAAAGCCAACUGGUUAAAACUGCUGCUAGAUACUGAUUAGCUCAAGGACAGAUUAAGCGCUGUGGGUUCAGUGGGGUUUUGUCCAGUUAAAACUAUGAAUUGGAUGAUGUUUUGGGAAUGUAUAGUACCUUUGCCACGUAUUAUUUCUCAUCCCAUCAGAAAGGAAACUGCAAACCUUCUCUGUGCUAGGAAACUCAUCCUCCAAAGAGGGAGGAGGAGGGAAGUCUGUGUGAAGAGUCUCAGAAGUAAAUGGCCAUGUGUAUUUUAAUUUUAAUGUAAUAUUGUACCUGCCCAUUUGUCCAUAUAUAUCCAUCCUAGAUAUACUACGGCUCCAUCGGAGUGAGUGUGAAUACCUACUGACCUCUUGUGAUCUGCCUCGUCUUCUGUGGGUCUGGGCAGUAGGUGAGCUGCUUUCGCAGAGUUCUGUGAUUUGGCGUUGUUCGAGUGAAAACGGGACUUUCUCCUGCUCCAAGGACUGGUGCAUUUAAAAGAAGAAAACAGUCCUCUUUCUGGACAGGCAGCGCUGGGGAUUAGUGACAUCAGGAUUCUUCUUGGAUGUCUCUUCUUACAGUGAUUUUUGUGAUUUUAUUUUGCAUGAUUGGCUCAAAUGUGAGUGUGUAUGGGGGGGUACCAUUUGCUCUGUUUCCCAGGCUGUCGGUAAGCUCUGAGGUGCUGUUUUAAGGAGACAACGACUGUUUCCCUUUUCUCAGCCCAGAAUUCGAACUUGGACUGUAAAAGGGGCUGUAGUAAACUGAGAACCUAGCAGGUCUAGCUGAGGAUUGGACCAUCUCCACCUGAAUACUACAGCUGAGUUUUUACUUUGUCGCUGCUUGUUUUUGAGACUGCAUUUGUAAUCAGAAAACCAAAAUCUUUAGCCUAUCGGUUGCAAAUUAUACAGAUAAAAGCAAAUGUGGGCUAUGCAGCUCGCAAGGUGAAGUGCAAUGAAGACCCAUCCAGUUUGGGGAGGACAAAAGCAUGCAGAGGCACCUGCCAGUGCUGCAGUCCCCUGACUGGCCUCCCUAGGGCGUUAGCCCAGGGGAAAUCUGUUCAGAAACAUGAAAGGGAGUCAAGGCUUGUACGUGAGGCCACCGAGAUGUAGAUGUUGUUCCUCAAUGACCAAACAGAUCGAAUUGUAUUUAUUGCACAAAUUAGAUUUAUGUCUUUGAGAGCGCUCUGUUAAGUUAUGCCUAAUGAACAACGCGUGCUCUGUCCCAUGAGACCGCGAGGUGAGGGGAAGCCAAUGGUUGGUAUUACAGCUGGAGCAAGACUAGCUGAACUGUAGGAGCGUGUCCACGUUACUACUGCAGAUACACCACGUUAGACCAUUGCCUUAUCUGAAUGCCGACUUACCAGGAAGCACGUCCUGGUGAUGACCAACAGUCCUUCCAGUACCCAGAGUCAGGUACUCCCCUUUAGACACGUAACACGAGGCGGCCAAAGCAUGAGGCAGACGGUACAGCACUGCAGUGCCCUGGGGCUCUACUGUGUGGGAUGCUGGGAAGUAAAAGAUCUGUCAGCCUGGAUCAGUAUGAUGGACUUGCACAACCAUACUGCUCUUUAAACUUGGUCCUUAAAAAAAAAAAAAAUCCCAUCCCACUGAGCUGCAACAGCUGACUCCUGGUUCUGAAAAUCAGCUCUCCAGCUUCUGUAAAACAAGAACGUGACUGUGGUACGCUGCCUUCUAGAAGCUAAGUGGAACCACCUAGGCAUUUGCCAAAGAUUUGCCCCAUAAGGCUGCUAACGUCUUUGCAGCCAGAAAAAUAACCAAAGUUCUCAAAUGCUGCCAUUUCACUCUGCAAACAGAAAGGCUUUGGAAGAUCCUGGUCACAAGCUAUGUAAGGGUUGGACCUGCUCUGAGUAUUGGUAUCUUUGUUUACAGCGUGUCUGCAAUUCAACUGAACCACUGUGGAAUGUGUUCCUGAAGCUUUCAUGGGAGAAAUGACAAACUGCCAAGUGAACUGUCCCUUUUUCACAGAGGUAAGGACAGGAAAAAUGCUGCGGACAAACCACUCUUGCAUGUACCAACAGGAGACCGCCACUCCCAUCUGCCUCCUUGCCCUGCCUCUGCUGUGACUAACCUGGACUGUCGCAGAGCCCUUGCUCCGUGCAAGGACAAGCACAGGGCAGCGCGGCUCCCCUCGGAAGCGAUGGGAAGCAGACGACUUGCUGGUGCCGCGGGUCCGGAGAGCGGCUGGAGGCAGCACAGGGCUCUGCGAUGGGCCCUGGCAGAGACUUUGCACAGAGUAAGAUAGGAAGAGGCUGGAUGAAGUAACUCUUCAGCAGAAGAGACCAGCCUGAGAACAGGCUCUAAUGGAGGAGACAAGGCAGUCCAUACUCCACCAUGUGGACAAAGCUCAGCAACAGCUGACGAUUAGAAAUACGCAGGGAAGCAAAAAUGGAACUCGUACAUCAACUGAAGCAGAGAAGAAUCUGCUGCAGGAGCCUUGUGCCUCGUGUAUGAAGCGCCACUCAUGGUACUCGAGAGGACUGGAAAAGCAAGAGUCUGUGAAUCUUUGCUGGGUUUAUCCUGCAGGAAAAACAAGUUAGACGCUUGUUAUGAUGCUCAGCCAGGGACAGGGAUCAGUACUAAUCUUGACGGAUUUCACUUUAAAGAGUCACAAGUCGAAAGGAUUCAGGUACAAAGUUAAAAUUCAUCUGCCCCUGGCAUGAAUUACUUUAUAAUCAGAUAUAAAGAAAAUUCUGAAGCACUGGGAGAAGAAAUAAAGGGGGAAGGCAGGGAGAACUAGAACAUCUCACUGCAUUUAACUACCGUAUGCAAAUCACUUCAUCUCUGCACGGGCAACAGUUCCGUCACUGUAAAAGCGAAAAGGCUGCUGGAACAGAGACAGUUUUCUUUGAGGACAACAAAGCUGUGAUCAGGAGAAAAGCAUCAGCUUGAAUCUGAGCCUUGGACCAGCUGCAGAACCAUCUUCAGAUGCAAGAUGUAUUGUUUCAUCAGCUUAACCGUACAGAGCUAGCAGAAGUGGAAGGCCGUCAGAGAUGGGAGUGAGUACAGAAAGACAAGGGGAGACUAUAAAAAAUAAAUCUUAAGCCUGUAUCUCCAUCUCAAAAGUUUGUAAUUUAAAGGCACUUGCUAAAAAGGUGGCUAGCAAGUGCUCCUGGAUCCUCAUUAAGGUGUUUAACCUUUUGCUGGUUAAAUUAUAGAAGGAUGGUGUCUCCCCUCCCAGGUUUCUAUGGCAUUCUAGAGCACCCAAAGACACAAACCUGUUUCACAUGGAAACUACUGGAGUAGGAACGAUGCACCCGGCUUCUUAAAGCACUAGUUUUCAAGUGCAGUAAUACCAUAAAUAUUCUGAAGUAUUUAGGCUUUUUUUUUUAGAAUCAUAUUGCUAUUUCCCUACAUUUUAAUGUAGACAACACAUAGAAAACACAUCAUUUUCAUGACAACAGGAACUGUAUCUCAGGAAAUUGUCAGAAAUUAGGAGAACUGCCUUAGCGUAUGAACUUUUCAUGAAAAGUCUUCAGUGUUGUUUGCUCCAAUAGCAACAGGGCUACUCUAAGAUUUUUCUUUGUAAUUAGCAGUAAACGUGUUGUUGCUAUUUAGCAUUUUUUAAUGCAAAUCCUUUAGUUCUCCAUACUCCUAGUGGAAGCAUUUGUUAUGUCCUAGUCAUCAUAGAAUGACUCUCUUGCUUGUACACUUUGGGCUGUGAAAGAUGUGGGAAAAAAAAAAAAAAAAAAAAAAAACAACAAUUCUGGUGGACAAUCCUGUCUGAUUCAAAUAGCUAUAGGUGGAACCACUCAGAAAAGAAAAGCAGCAGGAUGUGGAAGAGGUUGCAGUUACAUUUGUAAAACUGGCAAACCAAGCCUUGCAGAGAGGGUUUAAUUUCAAGAUUGUCCUGAAGAUGUAAAGAGAAAAUGGGCUGAUUUUCAGCUAAAGAUAAUUUAUUGCACAAUUUACAUUUAAUUUCAGAUCAGUAGAACACUAGUGAUAAGUGAAAUAAAAUCCUACAUCAGGAGCCCAUUGCAACUGAAGUUUUUUUUUUCUUUAAAAUAAAAACAAG